AACGAACGCUGGCGGCAGGCUUAACACAUGCAAGUCGAACGGUUGUAGCAAUACAGCAGUGGCAGACGGGUGAGUAACACGUGGGAACCUUCCUAGGGGUACGGAACAACUCAGGGAAACUUGAGCUAAUACCGUAUACGUCCGUGAGGAGAAAGAUUUAUCGCCCUUAGACGGGCCCGCGUCGGAUUAGCUAGGUGGUGGGGUACCGGCCUACCAAGGCGACGAUCCGUAGCUGAUCUUAGAGGAUGAUCAGCCACACUGGGACUGAGAUACGGCCCAGACUCCUACGGGAGGCAGCAGUGGGGAAUAUUGCACAAUGGGCGCAAGCCUGAUGCAGCGACGCCGCGUGAGGGAUGACGGCCUUCGGGUUGUAAACCUCUUUCAGUAGGGACGAAGCGCAAGUGACGGUACCUACAGAAGAAGGACCGGCCAACUACGUGCCAGCCGCCGCCGUAA
rnacentral:rRNA from 1 species